UCAUAUUAGCCAUGUCAUAUUGUCGAAAUUUUUAUUGAUUUGGUGGGGUAAUUGAUUAGCUUACUACAGUGGGCAGGUUUUCGUGGACCAGCCUAUUAGAGGGGCACGGCAAAACCCGUCAUAUUUUACCCUAGUAUGAGAGACACGGAGGGUAUCUCCUAAGGUAGUUUAGAGUUCACUUUACACCGAACCACCACGUGAGGGUGAAACUCAGCCAACUUCAAGGAACGACUAUAUUUUUAAACGUAAAAACAUGUUUUAUGUGUAUAUGUUAAUUUAAUAUCCUUGGCGAACUCGGUUGGAUGCCCGGUGCAAGGUGUCAUCAAGUACGAGUUUUGGCACGAGCCAAUUUUUAAGAGAGUCAUAAGCCUUGUUGAUUAUUUUUGAUGAAAUGUAAUUAUUUUAUAUGGUUGAAAUGAG
rnacentral:lncRNA from 1 species